rnacentral:rRNA from 1 species
GAUGAACGCUAGCGGCAGGCCUAACACAUGCAAGUCGAGGGAGAGGUUACCUUCGGGUCCCCAACACCGGCGCACGGGUGCGUAACGCGUAUACAAUCUGCCUUUCACAUAGGGAUAGCCCGAAGAAAUUUGGAUUAAUACCUAAUGGUAUAUAAGAGCGGCAUCGUUUUUAUAUUAAAGCUACGGUGGUGAAAGAUGAGUAUGCGUUCUAUUAGCUAGUUGGAGAGGUAACGGCUCCCCAAGGCGACGAUAGAUAGGGGUUCUGAGAGGGAUGUCCCCCACACUGGUACUGAGAUACGGACCAGACUCCUCCGGGAGGCAGCAGUGAGGAAUAUUGGACAAUGGUCGGAAGACUGAUCCAGCCAUGCCGCGUGCAGGAUGAAGGUCCUAUGGAUUGUAAACUGCUUUUGUAAGGGAAGAAUAAGGAGUACGUGUACUUUGAUGACGGUACCUUACGAAUAAGCAUCGGCUAACUCCGUG